rnacentral:misc_RNA from 1 species
CCAAAAAAAGCCACAAGUUCUAAGCACCACACGUUACAAGGUUCAUCACAACUGAGUUUGACCGUUACUUUCACCAUCUUUAUUACCUUCCUCGUGCUUCUUCAAAGCAGACCUCCACUUGAUGAAAUGACCAAAAAGGACCUCCAUAUCCUCUAAUGUCCUCCCCUGAGUCUCUGGCAAACAUGUAAAAAAGAAGCUCCAAGCCACUGCCGCAAUUGCAGCGAACAAGAAGAAAGCCCCACCUAUUGUUAUGCCUUUGUACAUCGAAAUAAAUGUCGUUGAUAUUACCCCACUUGUUACCCUGUUGACCGCCGCUCCCAUACUCGCUCCUUGCGCGCGUAGCCUUAACGGGAUGAUCUCAGUGGUGUAUACCCACGCUAUGGGUCCCAACCCUAUUGAGAAGAACGCCACGUUCGCUAAUACCAUCGCGAUGCACAGUGCAAUAGCCCACGUUGGCUUCUCGUGCGAAUGAUGUAUUAUGGUCAACGCAAAUCCAAGGGUUGCUAAUGAAAAUAUCAUCCCUCCUACGCUACUUAGAAGCAAUGGUCUCCGUCCGAUCCUGUCAAGCAAAAAUGUCGCCACUAAGAUGAAGACCGUCUUCACGAAUCCAACGGCUACUGUAGCGAGUAACUUAUCGUUGUCUGAUGUGAUCCCAGCCUUUUCGAAGAUUCUGGGGCUGUAUAAAACGACAGCGUCUAUACCAUACGCUUGAUGGAAGAAAUGCAUGCCGAUUACGCAUGCUAAGAUAUGACGAACUGACGGUGUAGGAUGAAGGAGUAAUUCUCGCCAU